UGACCGCCCUUCCGCCGGGAGGGCCAAGGCUACACGGACGGCCGGGUCAAAUGCCGA
rnacentral:sRNA from 1 species